GGUCUAAAACGAUCUUGCAGUGCUCAAUCUAACGAGUUUUUCAAUGAAGAGUUUGCCAAAAAGGUUCAAGAUUUCGCAAGAAAGUUGGAUGUUACAGAUGACAAGGAUAACAAAUAUAAUGAUACUGCUUCUUCUGCAGUUUCAGAGAUUUCUAAACAUUCAACAUGUAAGGAUGGCACGAAGAGCAGAGAAAAAACUGAUCGUUCUAUUUCGUUUUUGCCUUCAUUUCUAGAGCCUAAUUUUCUUGGAAUCCAACCAGAGCCACCAGAGUGGCCAGAGAGAGAUGAG
rnacentral:misc_RNA from 1 species